UUUAGCAUAUCAGUAAGCGGAGGAAAAGAAACUAACCAGGAUUCUCUUAGUAACGGCGAGUGAACAGAGAUUAGCCCAACAUCGAAGCCUCUAUGCUUUUGUGUAGAAGGCAAUGUGAUGUAACGGUGUUCGGUUUCACAGACUGACUAACUUGAAGUCCAUAUUUGACUGUGGCUUGUGCGUAUGCACCCAGAGAUGGUGAAAGGCCCGUUCAAGUUGGUGUUCAGAAAUGACUGUCUGUGUAUAUCCGUUCACUAUUGAGUCGGAUUGCUUGAGAGUGCAGUCCAAAUUUGGUGGUAAACUCCAUCAAAGGCUAAAUACCUGUGUGAGUCCGAUAGUCAACAAGUACCGUGAGGGAAAGUUGAAAAGUACUCUGAAGAGAGAGUAAAUAGUACGUGAAACUACAUGGAGGUUAAACAGAUAGAGUCCAACUGCGUGUUGUUGUUCAUUGCAUUAUUCAUCAAAUGUUUCAUUUUGUGCAUUGAAGGCUUGUCGAAAGACAGAUCCACUUGUGGAUGUUCAGACAGUUAUUCAUGUUUGAGCGCCAUUUAUGUACAAUGAUGGAUAGUGUUUAUGGCAAUGACGAAGGCCACAGUCAGUUGACCUACCAGCACUCAGUACACGGCAGUUAUGCAGAUUGACUUUAAGUUGAUUGUAUAAUUGUUUGACAGUGGUCAUGUACGUAUGCUUGCAUGCGUAUGUGACAAAUUGGGCUACGGUCCGUUGUGUACUGAGUAAGCUGUGUGAUUAACUGGUGACAUAUGUUCAUUAAAUUCAUGAGUUUGACUAGCCUGCUAUGAAAACUUGUGAACGAACGUACGAACUGUGGUUUAGCGGAAGACUUUCUAUCUGACCCGUCUUGAA
rnacentral:rRNA from 1 species